rnacentral:rRNA from 1 species
CUAAGCAUAUCAAUAAGCGGAGGAAAAGAAACUAACAAGGAUUCCCCUAGUAACGGCGAGUGAAGAGGGAAAAGCCCAAGAUUGAAAGCUGGCGUCUUCGGCGUCCGCAUUGUAAUCUCAAGAAGCAUUUUCCGCUUCGGACCAAGCCUAAGUCCCUUGGAAAAGGGCAUCGUAGAGGGUGAGAAUCCCGUACAUGGCUUGGAGCGCCCGAGGCUUUGUGAUAUGCAUUCUAAGAGUCGAGUUGUUUGGGAAUGCAGCUCAAAAUGGGUGGUAAAUGCCAUCUAAGGCUAAAUAUUGGGGAGAGACCGAUAGCGAACAAGUACCGUGAGGGAAAGAUGAAAAGAACUUUGAAAAGAGAGUUAAACAGUACGUGAAAUUGCCAAAAGGGAAGGGUAGGAGGUCAGAGAUGCGGCGUGGGAUUCAGCCUUGCUUUUGCUUGGUGUUUUUCCCUCAUUGCAGGCCAACGUCGGUUUUGGGCACUGGAGAAGGGUGAGAGGAAUGUGGCACUCUUCGGGGUGUGUUAUAGCCUCUCACUGGAUACAGCGACCGGGACCGAGGAACGCAGCGUACUCGAAAGAGCGGGCCUUCGGGCACCUUUACGCUUAGGGCGUUGGCAUAAUGGCCCUCUACCACCCGUCUUGAAACACGGACCAAGGAGUCUAACAUGUAUGCGAGUCUUUGGGUGGCAAACCCGUAGGCGCAAUGAAAGUGAAUUCAGAUGGGAUCCGCAAGGUGCACCAUCGACCGAUCCUCACGUCUUUUAAGUCGUGGAUUUGAGUAAGAGCAUGCCUGUUGGGACCCGAAAGAUGGUGAACUAUGCCUGAAUAGGGCGAAGCCAGAGGAAACUCUGGUGGAGGCUCGUAGCGGUUCUGACGUGCAAAUCGAUCGUCAAAUUUGGGUAUAGGGGCGAAAGACUAAUCGAACCAUCUAGUAGCUGGUUCCUGCCGA